GUGCUUGCUUUGGCAGCAUAUACACUAAUAUUGGAACAAUACAGAGAUUAGCAUGGCCCCUGCGAGCGGAUGACAUGCAAAUUUGUGAGGUGGUCCAUAUUUUU